AACGCACAUUGCGCCCCCUGGUAUUCCGGGGGGCACACCUGUUCGAGCGCCAUUUCAACCCUCAAGCCCCGCUUGGUGAUGGGCCCCGCCUGCGGGCGGGCCCGAAACUCGUGGGCGUCGUCGUUCGGCUCCAAGCGUAGCAAAACCCUCGCUUGGGCGCCCGGACGGCGGCCGCCCGGAACGAAUUUUUACAAGGUUGGCCUCGGAUCAGGUGGGGAUGCCCGCUGAACUUAA
rnacentral:misc_RNA from 1 species